rnacentral:rRNA from 1 species
AGAGUUUGAUCCUGGCUCAGGAUGAACGCUGGCGGUAUGCCUAACACAUGCAAGUCGUACGAGAGUUUUUAACUCUAGUGGCGGACGGGUGAGUAACACGUGAGAACCUACCCUAAGGAGGGGAAUAACAGCUGGAAACGGUUGCUAAUACCCCAUAUGCCGAGAGGUGAAAGGAUGUAUCCACCUUAGGAAGGGCUCGCGCCUGAUUAGCUAGUUGGUGAGGUAAUAGCUCACCAAGGCCAUGAUCAGUAGCUGGUUUGAGAGGACGAUCAGCCACACUGGGACUGAGACACGGCCCAGACUCCUACGGGAGGCGGCAGUGGGGAAUUUUCCGCAAUGGGCGAAAGCCUGACGGAGCAAUAUCGCGUGAGGGAUGACGGCCUGUGGGUUGUAAACCUCUUUUCUCAAGGAAGAAGUUCUGACGGUACUUGAGGAAUAAGCAUCGGCUAACUCUGUGCCAGCAGCCGCGGUAAUACAGAGGAUGCAAGCGUUAUCCGGAAUUACUGGGCAUAAAGCGUCUGUAGGUGGUUUGAUAAGUCUGCUGUUAAAGACUAGGGCUUAACCCUAGGAAAGCAGUGGAAACUGUCAGACUUGAGUAUGGUAGAGGUAGAGGGAAUUCCUAGUGUAGCGGUGAAAUGCGUAGA